ACGGCGUGGGCACCGGUGGUCCUCGGCUGCUUCUUGUCCUACAGUGACUGCGAAUUCACUUACAUACAACUAUGCUCUCCACACAUGCUGAAACUGGGGAUCUAAACAUAAAACACGGUCCCUGCUCCCCUGGGGGAGCACACAGUCAGACUGGGAAACGCAGAGAUAAUCAUCAGAGGAUGGGUACGCACCACAGCAGAGAUAGUAAGAGGGGCUGCAAAGCAGCCAGAAGAUGUGUGCGGCCCAGCAUGAGGUCACCGGACUUGACCUCAUUUCCUUUUUAAUGAGAAGGUGAGGCUGAAGCCGUAGGCCAAGCAGGAGCCUGCUGCCACAACCCAGGUUCUUCCGGAGCGUGAGACCGAACCCCAAGGCAACGACCAUCCGCUCUGACAUCACAGGAGCCGGCCAGCUGCCUCCCUCCUGACUCACGACUUCAUCUUCCCCGAGGUCAAGGAGAAGCAAGUGGCACCCUCACCAGCCUCCACCACGGCCCUUACACCUGCCGUCUGGUUUGGGUGGGAACGGGGAGCAGCCUCGGGCUUCAAAUCCCUGUCGUUGGCGGUGGGAACCUCUCAGAGCCUCAGUUUCCUCGUCUACAGGAUAUUCCGACCAAUAAGCAGCCUAUAAAGUUGAUAGUGUGUGUCCCAAAUGGAAAGGCCCCAGAGAGGGCCCUGCCAGGCCUGGGCUGGGUUCGACAUCCACCCCGCUGAUCCUUGGAACCAGGGAACGGGUGCGCCCCCUGCCCCGGGGACUCCAGGGACAGAAUGCCGCUAUUGAUAACCCCAUUAGAACCACUGGAUUGGGGGAAGAAUGGACCCCAACGGAACAGCGUCAGCAGACUGGUGAUAGUAGGAAAAAGAGCCCAUAUUAGUGAAGGAUGCAAAUAAGCAUAAAAAGGGAAAAUUGUGCAGUGAGGUAACGAGGACCCAAAGGAGAGAGCAGCAGAGUCUCUGAGGGUCUGUGGGAGGAAACAAUGAAACACUCACCUAAUUACCACCCAUCAGAGCAUCUGCCUCCCAGCGUUCACAGUUUAAUUUGAAAAUGACGAGAGCUCUGGUCCGUUGCUAAUUCGAUUCCCAAGAAGAUUACAAAGCUUCAAAAUCAGAAACAUCUGGACAGCAAGCUUCUGCGGUCCGUUUCCUACAGGACAAGUCAUAAAGGCCCGGCCAAAGUCUCAACUGAACUCUUCGUAUUUGAGUUAAAGAAGUUUUCCAUUUCUUCGUUUUAAAAUACUCUGGCAAAUACUUUGUGAAUUGUCUGCAUUUUGACUUGAAUUAGUGUUCCCAACUGCCAGUUGCUCUGAUUCUGCAAUUAAAUGCAUCCAUCCAACACUUUCAUGUUUCUGUCAUCUCUAGACCAGUUAGAUACGCAGGGAAGAGCAAUACAAACACAUUUUUAUCUAGUCGCUUGUCUCCUAAUCCCUUCCCAACAUGGAUUUUAAGGCUUUUGCAGAGAAAUAGGAAACACAUUGUACCAACUUUCUAUAAAAGCACAAAAGUCCCCAAAGACUUAAGGAUUGCAAUCAACUUUGGCACCCUAUUUAGUGCCAUGGGGCUAGCGGUUGAUGACUUUAUACUUUGGGGUGGAAAUAGGAGUUUAUUUUCAAAAUAGAGCCCCUCAUUACGCCAGUUGAACAGACUGCUGAGCAUGGACACUUGCUCUGAGGACAGAGGUCUAGCAACAAAUUCCGAAUCUCUCGUUCAUUCUGACCGCGGUGUCCAUCACAGUGUCGGGCCAUCUCUAUGCGGGGAUCCUGGGGCACCUCCAGCUCAGCAUGUCUGAACACCUACGGACUCAGGGGCGGGGGAGGAGGGGCUGCCUUCUUCCUCAGCUAAGGCAGGUCGGGGAGAGCCGGGGCUGUCUGUCUGUUUCCCAGGGCAGAGCUCUGACACAGCACCACCACCUCUGGACGCUGACCCCGCAUCACUCCACCACCAGGUGCUCUCAGCUCCACCCUCCUCGGUCUCCCCUUUAGCUGAAAACCUCCUAUUUCUACCUGGACUGCAACAUCUUACUCACGGCUGGGCACCCGGGUCUCAAUCCUGUGAGCCACACGGCCUUAAGGCUCGCUCACCUGAACUAAACCUCAGUCGGGCUUCUUCCCGACUCCAGCCCGGACCUUCCUGGCUUAGAGCAUUUACUUUAGGAAACUUGUCAUUGCACGUUCUUUCUCUGCCCCUUUGAGAUGCAAAUCUUUUGAAAAGCCUCUUGCCAGUUGUACAACUCAGGAAAUGUAUUUCUCAAGGACCUGGAGCCAUCCCUUUGGCACAUCAUCCUCAAGGAGUGGAGCAUCCACAUCUCCCAGUCUCUGCGGGAAGGUAGGAGCCUCAAUGUGGGGGCACCUUCCUCCAAGUCAGAAAACUACCUCCCAUAAUAAAGACACAAAAAAGUUUACCUUUCCUUUGGGGAAGGCCAAGGGGUAAAUAGGCGUGGCCUAUGACCCCCAUCCCUCCCACCGUUGAUUCAGCAGAGCUGAGCUCAGACUGCAUUCGGGCCUCCCUCCUCUGUUGCAGUAGCCUUGGAUAAAGUUUUCCUCGCCUGUUGAAAUUCGGCGCAAUUUUUGCUUUGACACUGAAUGAACUCAUGGAUCACCUGGGGAGCUGUAGACAUCGGGCGGGAUGCCUCAGCCACACCUGGGAACAUUCGACGAGACUCCCUGAGGUUGGGACUCAGACACCCUGACUUUCAAGGCUCCCCUCUGACCGCAUGGGGCAGUGAAGGUUGAGGAGCACAGACCUGAUCCCAGUGCUCUCCAGUCCUUCCCUUCAGGCCUUCCAGCUGCAGACUGUGUGAGUAAGGUGGGGGUUGGGGGAGGGCAGCUGCCCAAGAUCCAUUCUCAAGAUAGGAGAACUAGGCACGUCUACCUGAGGCAUCUUUUUACAAAUUGUGACAUGUGCCUUCCUAUGGCGUUGUGUUUCCAUUCUGCUGAGAUACUGGAUACAAGGUAGCUAUGCAUCCCUUAAAUCCUGUUAAAAAAAAAGGCCGAUAACUCCAGCCAUGCCUGGAGUUCUGCCCUCCUGCAGACUGGGAACCUUUCUGGCUGCUUCUUUGUUGCACAUUCCUACUUGGACUCGAGUGCCUUUCGAAAGCUCCUCGGCACCAAGACAGCCCUGGUUGGCUGGACAGAUGUGCUGUGAGCACGCCUGACACAGAAGUGUUCCUUCAACACAGCACAUAGUGUCCACGUGUGGGGGAGAAUGUGAGCCAGCACAUGAGCACCCCUCCUUGUGUGUGUGGCACUCGAUGGCAUGGUGGCAUGUGAACUGAGGCUCCGGGUGAAGGCGCUGAGACACCGCCUAGCACUCCCCCACAGUUCCCUCAGGAGGAGCCGUGGGAUGCUUCCUCCGACGGGCUGGAUGAGGGGACCUCGCCUCCUCUCCCAGCAAGAACACUUCCUUUGUAUAAAAGCAUGUUGGGCCAGAGAGACCAGACUCUCCAGGCACAAGUGGCCCAGGUGGAACAGGGAGUGGACUCACUGGUGGGGUGUGGGGCGUGGGGCGGGAGCUGCCAGAGAGCACGGAGGUGGGACAACUAGAGAAAGAUGGACAGCCAGGUGACAGUGCUGGUGUCCCUAAGAGGGAAGGCCGUGAGAGAAAAACCUUCUCUGCAAGGGAUGUUGAAUAUUCAACUCUCCUAUUUGGGGAUUCAUGCCUUCUUUUUCAUUUUUUUUUUAAAUAUCGGCACCUGAGCUAACAUCUGUUGCCAAUCUUCUAUUUUUUCCUUCUUCCCAAGGCCUCCCUAGUACAUAGUUGUAUAUUCUAGUUGUAGGUCCUUCUGGCUCUGCUAUGUGUGAUGCCACGUCAGCAUGGCUUGAUGAGUGGUGAUAGGUCCACACCCAGGAUGCAAACCGGCGAAACCCUGGGCCACCAAAGCAGAGUGCGCGAACUUAACCACUCGGCCACGGGACCAGCCCCCUCAUGCCUUCUUUUACUAGCAUUGUUUUAAAAAUACACAGAGGCACUGCAUCCCAUUCUCUCUGUGCCCUGACUGCCGGGAUGCAGGGAGCAGGUUCCCAUGGCCAGGAGAGGUGAGUCACCCCAACUUCAGCUGUCUCCAUGGCCACUGAUCCAUUGACCUUCGUCAUUUUCCCCUGGAAUUCUCUGAAAAUUCCCCAAUUCCUUUUUCUGCCUCCAAUCUCACCUCCCUCAAAUCUACCCUCAACAAUAUUCCCUUAAACAGAAAUCUCAUUGUCACUUCCCCAGGACUUCCCAAGGCUCCAUCACCACCUGCAGGCUAAAGUGUCGCCUCCUUAGCCUGGCAGAAGACGACCACCAGCC
ensembl:lncRNA